rnacentral:rRNA from 1 species
GUUGAACGCUGGCGGCGUGCCUAAUACAUGCAAGUCGAGCGGACAGGCGCGGUGCUUGCUCGUCGGACGUUAGCCGGGGGAGUGUUAGUUACGCGUGGACCCCCUCCCUAGGAGACUGGGAGCAAUUCCUUUACUCGGACCUAAUACCGUCUACGAUUGAAAACCGCAUGCUUCAAUAGUUUAAGCCGGCGUUGCUGUCGCUGAUAGAUGGAUCCGCGGCUCAUUAGGUAGUUGGUGAGGUCACGGCUUACCAAGUCGACGAUGCGUAGCCGACCUGAGAGGGUGAUCGGCCACACUGGAACUGGGACACGGUCCAGACUCCUACGGGAGGCAGCAGUAGGGAAUCUUGCGCAAUGGGCGCAAGCCUGACGGAGCAACGCCGCGUGAAGGAUGAAGGUCUUCGGAUCGUAAACUGCUGUUAUUAGGAAAGAACAGACGUGUUAGAAAACAUGCGCGUCUUGACGGUACCGAAAGAAAAAGCCACGGCUAACUACGUG